CCUACGGGGGACAGCAGUGAGGAAUAUUGGUCAAUGGACGCAAGUCUGAACCAGCCAUGCCGCGUGCAGGAAGACGGCUCUAUGAGUUGUAAACUGCUUUUGUACGAGGGUAAACGCAGAUACGCGUAUCUGUCUGAAAGUAUCGUACGAAUAAGGAUCGGCUAACUCCGUGCCAGCAGCCGCGGUAAUACGGAGGAUUCAAGCGUUAUCCGGAUUUAUUGGGUUUAAAGGGUGCGUAGGCGGUCGGAUAAGUUAGAGGUGAAAUCCCGAGGCUCAACUUCGGAAUUGCCUCUGAUACUGUUCGGCGAGAGAGUAGUUGCGGUAGGCGGAAUGUAUGGUGUAGCGGUGAAAUGCUUAGAGAUCAUACAGAACACCGAUUGCGAAGGCAGCUUACCAAGCUACUUCUGACGUUGAGGCACGAAAGCGUGGGGAGCAAACAGGAUUAGAUACCCGAGUAGUC
rnacentral:rRNA from 1 species